GGGACCGUAGAUUAGCUGGGAUAGAUCAGAGACCUGCUAAGUCUAAAACAGAGGUUCAAAUCCUCUCGGUCCCGCCA
rnacentral:tRNA from 1 species